rnacentral:lncRNA from 1 species
UUCGUUUCCCCAGUGGCCACCACCAGAAACCUCCCACGGUACUCCUCCGCCAGCUCCACCGUUCUUCCGAAGUUGGCAGUACUGUUUCCUGAGGUGGAGGUGGAGGCGGUGUAGGAAUAUUUCUUCCACAGGUAAGCAUGCUGUGGCGGAGAGGCCUAAUGGGCCUGCUCCCACGAUUAUCACUCUCUGCUUAAUUCCCUCCUGCUGCAUUCUUCUUUCUCCUUCAAUGCUUUUCUGGAUCCAUGUUUUGUUGUUAGGAAAGGGAAGAUGAAGAGAAGAGGAUGUUUUUGGUAUUGGUUAAUCAACUAAAAAAAAUAUUUAUUGUUUAAAUUAUAGAAAAGUAUAAAAAAAUAAUAUAAAAUUUUAUCUUCUAAUAAUAAUUUUUACUUUAAAUUUUUUAAUCAAUAUCUUCACAACAAUAAUUAUCAUUUUUCUUAUUAUAUACUAUCUAUCAUGGUAAUGAAAUAAUAAGGGAAGGUGGUGUAUACUUCUAGCUCACGGGUACCAAGAAAAAUAAAAUAUAUCUAAAACAAAAAUUCAUUCAUAAUUGAUAUUUUUAUGAAUAAAAAAUAUAUAAUUAUAUAAGUUUAAAUCUUAUAUAUUCACAACACAAAAUAAUCAUCGAAUUAAAUUAUUUUAAAAGAUGACAAAUUUAUCAUGGUAAAUUAUAAUUGAGUAGUUAUGUCAGUGUAUAAUUGUUUUUUUCUUUGAAUAUAUUACAUGUAAAAAUAAUAUAUAAGAAAAAAUAAUUAGAAAUUUCAUUUAAAUAUAAUUAGUAGUAUCAAAAUUUUUAAUAUUAUCUCCUACUUAUAAAUUAUUAUGUAUGAUAAAAUUAUUAAUUUUUAUAAUAUUUAUUUAAAACUUAAUUAUAAUAAUUUCUAAUUUGUUUACAACGCAAACAUCUGUACACUAAUUUCAUCCUAUAUACUCCUUUCCUUUGCUUAUAAUUAUUAUCCUUGUUUUAUAAAAAUAAUUGUUAUCCUAAAAUAAGAAUAUGAGUUCAUAAAGGUAUAUGUUACUAUUGAAACAGCCUUUUUUGUGUGUUGAUACUUUUCAAAACUUCUCAAACAAUGUGUGUUAAUUUGUGUGUGCGCCCGGGAGGUACGUAAUAGGAUAUCAUGAAUACUAUAGUACUCAUAUUCUCAUUCAUUCUUAUUAAAUUUUACAAGUAAAUCUUCAGCCUCAAAUUCUUUCAAAUUGAAUGAGUAUUUGCAGUAUCGAUAUGAGUAAAUCUUCAGCCUCAAAGUGUAAGUUUCUACAAUAGUAAAAAAUUUAUUAUUGAAACAAAAUUAUAUAUGAAUUUCUUACCAUAAUAAUAUCACAUUACGAGAAUCACAACAAGUAAUUUAAAACAACAUACCUAAUUCAUAUCCCCAAAAGAAGAAAGUGUCAUGUACAUACUGUUUCUGCAACCAAUAAUAGAUAAUAGAUCAUUACAUGACACAAAUUCCUUCUCUUUCUUCUUGAGGAAUUAACGAGGCAAUAUCAUUUGCUACUAAUUGGGCAUCCAUGUUAGCUCCAAAGAAACCCCUUCUUGACAGCCCAACACAAUACAAACCAUUUCGACCUUUCCAAUGAUUUGGGAAACUGUUUUUUGGAAAGCCAUCCUCAUUUAGAAGAUCAUCACCCCCCUGUACAGAACAAAUUAAUAUUAUCAUGUCUUUCUAAACUUUCUUGCAUGAUAGUUGUCCACAAGUAUGAACAUAGGUUAAUUUAGAUGGAAUAUAAUGGUGUAUUCAUUAAAGGGUACGUACGUAGCCAAUAUUGUCACAUAUAGCAUAUCAAUAUGAUACAUACCUUAAGCCACUUUUGAGUUGAUCUCUUGAAGCCUGUACAGAAAACAAUUGAGUCGAAUGUGUACGAUUUGCCAUCCUGGAACAAAACUUCAUUACCUCUUAUACUCUUUAUUUCAGCUGGCAACACCUACAUAACAUAUAAUAGAAUUAAUCAACCUCAGCUCAUACGUCUCUUCAGUUGAAAUUUUAUUUUUCUUAACCUCUUUAAUUUUAAACCAAUCAGUUGAAAUUUUAUUUUUUUUAACCUUUUUAAUUUUAAACCAAACGGGCCAGAUAGACACAGCAAAGGGUGUCGCUAGAUGCACCCAACACUUAAGGUAAAAUGAUGAAAAUAUCCUUGAUUCGUAAGUCAUUUAAGUUGAUCCAUAAAAGUUUUAUGGAUCAACUUAAUAUGUAAACUUUUUAUGGAUCAACUUGAUCCGUAGAAACCUUACAAAUCAACUUGAUCCGUAAGCUUUUUACGGAUCAAGUUGAUCAGCAAAACUUUUAUGGAUCAAGUUGAUCCUUAUUAUUCCGUAAAAGGCUUACGAAUCAAGUUGAUCUGUAUCAACCUUACGGAUCAACUUAAUCCGUACGAUUUAUGGACCACCCUCACACACACCCAUCACAAAUACAAAAAAAUAUAAAGAUAAUUUUAGUAUUUUAAAAAAAUAUUGGAUACACCAGCAAUGCUGAAUGCACCUAGCAACACCACCAGAGCAAAAGAGGAAGUAACAUUUAUGAAGCCCGUUGCUCCAUUUUGACCGUAUUUCAUUCUAUUGUAUUGUGUACCAUAAAAUGGGAUGACAAUUCUAUUCUAUUUUAUCAUAUAUAAUGAUAUAAAUAAAUAAUACAUUUGCAUAAACAAAGUAUAAUUUAUUUAUUUAUUAUUAUUUUAUUCAGAAUUAUAUAUCUCAAAAGUGAAACUAUAUAAAAGCUUUUACACUAAAAACAUAUGUAUUUAUUUUUUUGACUUAAAUGUCGUUUUGGUCCUUUCCUUCGUUCUUUUACAUGUGUUUUCGUUUAGGCUAAAUCAAUUGUUCACACCAUCAAACUCCAGAAAUUAGGUGGUAUACCUGUAUCUCUCGAGAUUUAAUUUUCUUGACAGUUCCUACAUCGAUGAUUGGGAACUUGGCAUACUUCAUCUUCAUGGUGAAAGGCCCCUCACUCGGAUACGGUAUCCCAUACUCACUCAGAUCUCCAUACACAACCUUGCUAACCAUCACCAACACCUUCUCCACCGUACUCAGCGACAAGUAAUUCAGCAUAAGCGACGCAUAAUACAUCAUAUCCCUCGAAAGAAAAUGAACCUACAUGCACACAUAACCAUCAUAAUAAUCUUAUCAAGCUUAAAAAUCUAACAACGAAUACGCCAACAAAUUAAUUAAAGUAUAAGAACCUUGGUUGUGUUUGGGUGAGGAAAAAUGAGAGAAACCAAAAAGAAAUUAUAUGGAUAUCAUGUUAAAUCAUACUUUAAUUAAAAAAAAAUUGUUUAUUUUCUUUAAACCAAACACAACAACAUUAGAGAUUAAAACAUAUUUUAAUCUAGAAAAAGAAAUUGAAAGUACCCACCGGGCUGCGAACAAUGAUGGAAGGUUUGGCACCAAAAUUGGACAAGUCUAGCGCAAUCUCCAUGCCGGAAUUGCCAGAUCCGACAACCAGAACAUGUUUAUUCUUAAACUCGUUCCCGUUUUUGUAGGCAGUUGAGUGAAUCACUUUUCCAUUGAAACUCUCCAAGCCUUGAAUCUGAGGCAGACGAGGCUCGGCGGUUUCGCCACUGGCCACGACCAGGUACUUUCCAGCGUAUUCCUCAAGCUCACCAGAUCUUCUAUUCUGAGCCUUCACUCUCCAAAUCCCUUUCCAUCCAUCAUACUCCACCAACUCCACUGCACGCUGGUACAGAGGCUUGAUCUCAAAGUGGUUAACGUAGUUUCCCAAGUAGUCUAUGAACUGCUUCCGAGGCACGUAGUGAGGGUAAGACUUGGGAAACGGUAAGUGCGGUAACUCGCAAACUUGCUUCCUCAAAUGAAGGUGGAGACGAUCGUAGGUGUAUUUCUGCCACAGCGAAGCGAAACAGUCUUCUCUCUCGAGCAUUAUGUAAGGUAUUGAUUGCUUCGUUAAGCAACCGGCGGUGGCGAUACCAGAAGUUCCGGCACCGAUUAUUAUCACCUUCGUCGCUUCCUGCAUCGUGUCUUUCUCCGUUCUAUGAAAGAGAUAUUUCAGAUAAAAUUAGUUUGUGAUUCAAGUCGUGUCGUAAAACCAAUGUAGUUUCCUACACGUUAUUCCCUACUUGUUUUGUUUGUUCUUAUCUUCUUAAUUAUCUUAACUUUAUCAUAUUUAUUUUUUAUUUUAUUUUUUUAAUAUUAUAUAUAGGGUAAAAUAUAUUUGAGGUUACUAUAAAACUUAAAAAGUAUAAUUUCUUUCUCAUAAUUUUUUUAUAUUAAUUUGAUUCUUGUAAGUAAAAUAUAAUUUUUUGGUAUAGAAAUUACAUUGUUAAUGUAUAGAAAUUAAAUUUUUGAGAUGUAAAAAAAUUUAAAAUAUGUAUUAAGAUGAAUAAUAUGGAGAAAAAAUAUUGAUAAAAGUUAAUAUAAAAAAGUAUUCUUAAAAUAAUUUUAUUUUAAUGUAAUUAAUCAUUAGAGAGGAUCAAGUUGUGUUUGAUUUAAGAGAAAAAGAAUGAAACAAAAGAAAAAGUGAAAAGAAACUUUAAGGAAGAAAGAGAACUAGAAAAGAAAAUGAUUUUAAAGUUGUUUAGUAGGAUGGAGAAUAAAAAAUUAUUUCCGUUUCCCCUAGGACCACAAAUCACUUUGAUGGCUCUGCUUGGUACAAAUGGACACACUUCCAUUAGUAAAUAGUUAAUUAAGAGGCAUGUAAAAGACAGAUGGGAAUUGGAAUGGACAACGUAUAUUAUAAGGAAUACAAAUGCAAAUUUGUAACAAUUGGUUGUAAUACAACUCGCUAAAGAAAGGACAUUCAAAAGAAUAUAAUGAAUAUGACAAGUACUCACACUAGGAUUCAAAACCAAGGAACAUAUAAUAUAUAAAAUAAAAGAUUUUAAGCCUAGGCUUUUUGGGUCAUAAGUUCCUAACAUAAAUAUAGACAUCUUUAUAAAUAUUGUUGUGUAUAAUUACUCAAUCUGCUAACUUUGUUAACCACAUCUAGAGAGCUCAACACCGGGCUGAUUCUUUGGAGUGCCACUGAACAACUUCACCGAAAAUGCUUCCACAAGUUUGUUGAUCUCAAAUGGGUUCUUCCAUUUCUUGGUGGAUUCCUUAGCAAUGUAGUUUCUCAUCUUUGCAUUCUCCUGCUUCAGCACAUCUAUUGCUAAACUCAGCUGUCUUAUCACCUCAAUCUUCUCUUCAUCCUUCUGCUUGAGUCGUUCCUUUUGUGCCUCAUUCUCAUCUCUAAGCCUUUCUAUUUCUUCCCUCAACAUCAUUACUUCAUCACAAAUGGUAUCCUUCUGCUUGAUUUGAUCCCUUUGAGCCUUGUUCUCUUCAUUGAGUCUCUUAAUUUCAUCCCUCAGCUUCAUCACUUCAACAUCACCCGCAACCACAAACAAAACUUGCUCCUUUUUUGUGCUUUUAUGCAGAAACUUGGUCCCCUCUUCUUCCUCCUCCUCCUGCUCAGGAUCAUCAACUUCAGAUUCCUCAGACUCGUACACAUCACAAUGCUCAGAAUAGGUAUCAUAUCCGUUAUCUGAAAAAGUCAUCAACUUCUCCAACUGAUACUUUGCUGAAGCGAAAGGUGACCCCCCAGUAAUGAGGUGUCCAAUUCCAGUAGUAUCAGGCUUGACUUGAUCAUAGCGCUCAGCUAGGGAGCGGUGUGCCCUGUAGAAAUCCUCAACCAUGCUCACAAGUUCUGGUCGCUUCUUGUAAUACAUCUCUGCACGUUUAGCAAAGGAAUCUGCAUCUUCUUCAAUUAACUUUAACAUUGCCCUUGUCUUCUCAUUUAGCUCUGAAACAAACAUACAACAGACAAUCAAACAUAAAUUUAUUGCCGUUUAGGAUCAACUUGUUUUAAAGAACUAAUAACUUUGGUUUUACAUCUUCCAAAGAUAGCUUCUAAAUAAGGAAAUGUGCCAAUAGCAAUACCCUUUUGAAUUAUGAGCAGUUUGUUUGGCUAAACACCCUUGAUAUUGGCCCCCCUUUUUUUUGCCAGUGAGUUAGUGACGGGCUCUUAAUUGAAAGGGGGGAAUUUGAAAAAGAGCUAUGCUAUUUUUAAAAUUUUUUUUUCCAAGAAAUAACAUUUUUUUCACUAAUAAAUAUUUUCAAUUCAGAGUUUCAAAAAUUCAUUCGCGAUUCAUUUAGAAUGAAAUGGAUCCUAGGAAAUGCAGAGCCACGAGUCUGCAAUCCGAAUCAAUAAUUUGGGGAAAGAAAGAAAAUCGUAAGAAGAGCUUGUGAAACGAUAAAAGAGAGAACAAAAACCUAAAAUGAAAAGAGAGAGAGAGCCUCAGAUUAGCAUUUUGGCACAUUAUUCAUCGCAACAACAACCCGUGUGACAAUACACGGUGCGCAGAAACGUUGUCGCAGCUCAUGCCAAUAAUUCAUUCAUCACCAGCUACUCCUCAAAAUUCGAUUCACUCUUCUUUUAUUUAAAACAAAGCAAAAUCCCCUCCAUCCUUUCUAGAUUUCAUAAUCCAAUUCAUUUGCAACAAAAUACAACGUUUGCCAUGAAAAAUGCAAAACAAAAGAGAAAUUUCUGAAUUCUCAGUCUCGCAACUCGCAAAGAUUGCGAAUUGCAAUUAACAGCGAAGCCAAUUAGGGUUUCAUGACAUUGAAUUGAAGUUCUGUCUGUGAGGCAGGGCGACUUUUUAUAUAGAAAGGCCAACAUUGGGCUUCUUCUCUUUCUCCGGCCCACAUUUUAGACCGAAUUGAUUUUGAGCCCAUUGAAAAAAUUGAACGGGAUGUCCAAUGUUAUUAGUUAUAUAUGUAAUAUGUAAAUUAAAGAGAAAAGCUUUUAUUGAUUUUUUUUUCUUUUACUGGAUUAAAAAUUAUCAUUAAUACACUUUCACUGUAAUUUUCAAUCCAUAUGUCAUUUUCAACAAUAGCAUUCUAGAGUUAAUGCCCUUUAAAACAAUGACAAAAUGAUACGCUAAUGUCAUGAGGAAAUUAGUUAAGAAAUUAAAAUGAACUAUUAAAGAAUGUAUUUCCCUAUAACUUCCAAGAUGUACGCAAUAUGGUUUCUAAUAAAAAUUUCUAUAAUUGAUUCUUUAACUUGUGUCUAGAGGAAGUUCUGGUUAAAAACUCGUUUUUAUUCAUUUUUACCAUCAGAAAUGACUGACAUGAUUUUUAAUGGUAAGAACCGAUUUUUACAUAAACAAGAUAUUCUUGUGAUUAAAAAAAUAUUUUGUGAAAUAAUAUGUGAGAUUCAAGCUUUAAGUCCUUACCAUCAUGUUUUAAAAUCUAUACGGUAUGACAGGACCCACUAAAAUGUACAAUAUUGGAGAUGCUCUUAUUGGAGUGGUUUAGCAAAUCCGAAAAAAGAAUGUGCUCAAAAAGGUCCCAUGGGUUGCUCCAACGGCUAAAUCCAAAGGGCAAAAG